UCAGUGGUUUUGGCCUUUUUGUUCCCGAUGAGCUAUUUAUAAUCCGACGAAAAUACGCGGAUUUCCAAAAAUACGGGAAAUCUCGGGGGCGGAAACGCCCAUAUGUACCCUUUAGAAAAAAGAUAGAGACGGGGGUCCAAGAAAGUCCCCUCAUGCGAGUUUCGUAUGCUAUUUGACCGUGAAAAAUUGCCA
ensembl:ncRNA C25H3.20 ncRNA